rnacentral:sRNA from 1 species
ACAGACCGUUAGGUUCCAUGGUACCCUGGAAUCCAUAGCUGCUGAAUCUGAAGGGCCUUCAGAAGACUGGCUUCUCCAUGGUGGUUCAUGGACUAAGGCAAAGAUGAGCAGAGCCGUGGCCCUCUUCUUUGUUCUCUGCUGGAUCCAAGGGUCUCCCUCUGUCACCCAGGGCUGGAGUGCAGUGGCAUAAUCACAGCUAAUUGCAGCCUCAACAUUCCAGGCCCAAGGAUCCUCCCUUUAGCCUCCCAGAGUCGGAGUCUCCCUAUGUUUCCCAGGCUGGUCUCGAACUCCUGACCUCAAGUGAUCCUCCCACCUCAGCCUCCCAGAGCGCUGGGAUUGAAGACGUGAGCCACCGCACCUGGCCUGAAUUUUCCUCAGAUUCAAAAAAUCCUGAUGAAGGUUUGGCUAAAAUCUUUGGUGAGUUACCCCCAUCCUUGUGGAACCUCAGGCUGGAUUUGAAGAGUUGCAUGCGUGGUCCUCAUUGUCUCCCAGGUAACCUGUUCCCAAUGCUGUGAAGGGAAGGCAGGUGCUCUUCCUUGAGGCUAGAAUCUGUCUACGUGUCACAGUCUCAGGAAAUUAAGCAAAACAGAUGAUAAACACCUCAAAAGGACCCUACUGAGCAUGAGUGGAGCAGAGCAGGGCCAUGU